GAUGAACGCUGGCGGCGUGCCUAAUACAUGCCAGUCGAGCGAACGGACGAGAAGCUUGCUUCUCUGAUGUUAGCGGCGGACGGGUGAGUAACACGUGGAUAACCUACCUAUAAGACUGGGAUAACUUCGGGAAACCGGAGCUAAUACCGGAUAAUAUUUUGAACCGCAUGGUUCAAAAGUGAAAGACGGUCUUGCUGUCACUUAUAGAUGGAUCCGCGCUGCAUUAGCUAGUUGGUAAGGUAACGGCUUACCAAGGCAACGAUGCAUAGCCGACCUGAGAGGGUGAUCGGCCACCCUGGAACUGAGACACGGUCCAGACUCCUACGGGAGGCAGCAGUAGGGAAUCUUCCGCAAUGGGCGAAAGCCUGACGGAGCACCGCCGCGUGAGUGAUGAAGGUCUUCGGAUCGUAAAACUCUGUUAUUAGGGAAGAACAUAUGUGUAAGUAACUGUGCACAUCUUGACGGUACCUAAUCAGAAAGCCACGGCUAACUACGUG
rnacentral:rRNA from 1 species